rnacentral:rRNA from 1 species
CUCUCCUGAACUUGUUCGGGCAGAGUGUCAAUGAUGUCAUACUUCCAAGAAAAGCUCGUACACCAUUAACCUUCAAAAAACCUGUACCUGAAACCGACACAGGUAGGUUGGUAGAGAAUACUAAGGGGCGCAAGAGAACUCUCUCUAAGGAACUCGGCAAAUUGGCCCCGUAACUUCGGGAGAAGGGGCGCCUUUGAUUUCAUCAAAGGCCACAGUAACAAGAUUCAGGCAACUGUUUACCAAAAACACAGGUCUCCGCAAAGUCGUAAGACAAUAUAUGGGGGCUGACGCCUGCCCAGUGCCGGAAGGUGAAGGAAGUUGGUUAUUUAGGCCUUGUGCCUAGAGAAGCUGACAACCGAAGCCCCGGUGAACGGCAGCUGUAACGAUGACAGUUCUAAGGUAGCGAAAUUCAUUGUCGAGUAAGUUUCGACCUGCACGAAAGGCGUAAUGAUCUGAAUACUGUCUCAGAGAGAGACUUGGUGAAAUAGACUUAUCCGUGAAGAUGCGGAUUAACAACAUUUGGACAGAAAGACCCUAUGAAGCUUGACUGUAUCCUGGAAUUGGGUUCGGGCUUUUCUUGCGCAGUCUAGGUGGGAGGCAUUGAAGGUUUCUUUCCGGAGAGAUUGGAGCCAUCAGUGAGAGACCACUCUGGAAAGGCUAGAAUCCUAAGAGUGAUCCCUAAUCGGGACAUUUGACGUUUUCAGGAAGGCAGUUUUUUUGGGGCGAAAGUCCUCCUAAAAGGUAACGGAGGCGCGCAAAGGUUUCCUCAGUCUGGACGGAAAUCAGACGUUACAGAGUGUAAAGGCAAAAGGAAGCUUGACUGCAAGACCUACAAGUCGAGCAGGGGCGAAAGCCGGCCUUAGUGAUCCGACGGUGUCCGUGUGGAAGGGCCGUCGCUCAACGGAUAAAAGUUACUCUAAGGAUAACAGGCUGAUCUUCUCCAAGAGUUCACAUCGACGAGAAGGUUUGGCACCUCGAUGUCGGCUCAUCACAUCCUGGGGCUGUAGUAGGUCCCAAGGGUUGGGCUGUUCGCCCAUUAAAGUGGUACGUGAGCUGGGUUCAAAACGUCGUAAGACAGUUUGGUCCAUAUCCGAUGUUGUCGUUAGAGCGCUGAGGGGAUCCUUAAAUAGUACGAGAGGAUUUUUAAGGUCGUGCCUAUGGUGUAUCAGUUCUCUCUCCAGAGGGAAACGCUGAGUAGCUACGCACGGUUUAGAUAACCGCUGAAAGCAUCUAAGUGGGAAGCUUUCCUCAAGAUGAGCGCUCUCCAUUAUGCCACAGCUAGACAAGCUGAUGAUAGGUAUCAGGUGAAAGGUCUGCAAGGAUUUGAGCCGAGAUAUACUAAAGGCCAAUUGAUUUU